rnacentral:lncRNA from 1 species
CUAUAAUAGCUAAGCUCACCCCCAUGCCAAACUACAUGAAAAUAUAAAAAAAGUCCCUAAUACAAAGACUACUCAAAAUGCCCUGAAAUACAAGGCUAAAACCCUAUACUACUAGAAUGGCCAAAAUACAAGGCCUAAAAGAAGGAAAAAUCUAUUCUAAUAUUUACAAAGAAGAGAGGACCCAACCUUGGUCCAUAGGCUUAGAAAUCUACCCUGGGAUUCAUG